ensembl:snoRNA LOC120101279 small nucleolar RNA SNORA17
ACUGCCCCUAGAGGCAUUGCAGAUGUGACUGCUGUGUCACAUGUACAUUAGUAGGUGGCAGAAAGGAGAGAGGCCAUGUCUAUGCUCAGUGUUCUGACCUGUUAACAUCUGAAUGCUUAGUAGCCUAACACU